AGUGAACGCUGGCGGUAGGCCUAACACAUGCAAGUCGAACGGCAGCACAGUAAGAGCUUGCUCUUACGGGUGGCGAGUGGCGGACGGGUGAGGAAUACAUCGGAAUCUACUUUUUCGUGGGGGAUAACGUAGGGAAACUUACGCUAAUACCGCAUACGACCUACGGGUGAAAGCAGUGGAUCUUCGGACCUUGCGCGAUUGAAUUAGCCGAUGUCGGAUUAGCUAGUUGGCGGGGUAAAGGCCCACCAAGGCGACGAUCCGUAGCUGGUCUGAGAGGAUGAUCAGCCACACUGGAACUGAGACACGGUCCAGACUCCUACGGGAGGCAGCAGUGGGGAAUAUUGGACAAUGGGCGCAAGCCUGAUCCAGCAAUACCGCGUGGGUGAAGAAGGCCUUCGGGUUGUAAAGCCCUUUUGUUGGGAAAGAAAAGCAGCAGGUUAAUACCCCGCUGUUCUGACGGUACCCAAAGAAUAAGCACCGGCUAACUUCGUG
rnacentral:rRNA from 1 species